rnacentral:rRNA from 1 species
AAUUAAAUAUAAGAGAGAAGAUGUUUGGAUUGCUUUGUGCAAGUAAGAGGCGCCAAUUGAUUAUGGUACGCUUAUAUAUCUCUGCUGAGAAUAAGUGCAUGUGUGGUCAGCUGAGAUGAGAGGUUUGGAUCCAUUGGAAGAUUAUCCACGAAGCAUAUCGGGUAACUCCCACCGUGAAUCAUCUCAUACUUGUUAAUCCUAUCUGUAAUUCAAUAUAUAUCCGUGUAUUACUGAUAUACAGUUGUACUAUUUGAUCGCCUGAAUACAUUAAGGGGUUUUUAAGAGCGAACCCCGGGGAACUGAAAACAUCUAAGUACCCGGAGGAAAGGAAAAUCAAAUAGAGACCUCCGCUAGUAGUGGCGAGGACAAAGCCCGGACCAGGACCGAGCCAUUGUAAGAAAUGACCAGAAACACGUGGAAGACGGACCAAUAGCGGGAUGACAGCCCGUAUGGAGAAGAAUUCAUUAUUGGACGUAUCAAGUAGGGCGGGACACGUAAGAACAAUCCUGUUCUGAAGAAAUCGGGGGACCACCCCCGAAGAAGCUAAGUACUUUAUGAUACCGUUACUGAUCCGAUAAGCGAAACCAGUACCGGUGGAGGGAAAGGUGAAAAGCACCCACCGACGAGGGGAGUGGAAACAGUUUCUGAAACUCGGACGCCUUACAAGCAAGAAGAGGAGGCCUCGUAUGCCCUGGAGGCGGCAGUAUCUAUUUGUAAUAAUGGGUAUCCAACGUUACUUGGUUCUAUACGAGCAAGCUUUAGCCGAUAGGGUGUAGGCGUAGGAAAAAGCGAGUAUUAAAAGGGCGUUUAGUUCGUAGGAUCAGAACCGCUGAACACCAGAUGAUCUAGGCCAUGAAAGCAGGAAAAUGAAGGUAAGGUACACUUACUGAAGAGUCCGAAGACACCCGUUGAAAAGGGUUCUCCGGAUGACUGUGGCUUUCCAGGGGUACGCAAAGGCUAAUCAAAUUCUUUGGAGAUAGCUGGUUUCUCCGCGAAAGCUAUUUUAGGUAGCGCCUCGGACGAAUACCUACGGGGGUAGAAGCAACUAACAUAGGUGAUGGGGUCCCCACAGACUUACUGAAGCCUAAGUAAACUCCGAAUACGUAGAGUACUAUCCGGGAGAACACAAUCGGGUGCUAACCGUCCGUGUGAAGAGGGAAACAACCCUGACCUACAGCUAAGGCCCCUAAUUCGUGGCUAAGUGGGAAAGCAUGUGGGAUUUCCAAAACAACCAGGAGGUUGGCUUAGAAGCAGCCAUCCUUUAAAGAUAGCGUAACAAGCUCCACUGGUCUAGUUAAGAGAUCCUGCGGCGAAGAUGUAACGGGGCUUCAAGCCACGAAGCCGAAGCUUAGAUGCAACAGGCAUGUGGCGUGGUAGCGGAGGCGUUCUUGUGAUAUAGCACCAGUCCGACCCUUUAGCUUUCCGCGAGGAAAGUCAUUGGUCGGGAAGGGUGCUUACUGUGAAGCCGGGGCCGUGAAGGCAUCCGGUGGAGUUUGCAUCAGAAGCUGAGAAUGUGACAUGAGUAGCGACAAACAGGGUGAGAGACCCUGUCGCCGUAAGUCCAAGGGUUCCUGCUUAAGCUUAAUCUGAGCAGGGUGAAGCCCGACCCCCUAAGGCGAGGCCGAAAGGCGUAGUCGAUGGGAAAACCAGGUUAAUAUUCCUGGGCCAGGAGGAUGUGACGGAUUUCGAAGGUUGUCUUGCCCCCUUAUCGGAUUGGGUGGCCGCUUAGAGGUUCCUGGAAAUGCCCUCCAUUAGAUCGUACCCUAAACCGACACAGUGGACUGGGUAGAGAAUACCAAGGCGUCUUGAGAGAACCACGUUUAAGGAACUCGGCAAAAUGCUCCCGUAAAGUUCGCGAGAAGGGAGCCCCGUCUGUAAGGCAAACUAUGGGGUGGGGGCACAGACCAGGGGGUGGCGACUGUUUACUUAAAACACAGGGCUGUGCGAGCCGUAAGGCGACGUAUACAGUCUGACGCCUGCCCGGUGCUGGAAGGUUAAAAAGGAGGGGUGCAAGCUCCGAAUUGAAAGCCCCAGUAAACGGCGGCCGUAACUAUAACGGUCCUAAGGUAGCGAAAUUCCUUGUCGGGUAAGUUCCGACCUGCAACGAAUGGCGUAAACGAUCUCCCCGCUGUCUCAAACGUGGACUCAGCGAAAUUGGAAACUGUGUGUCAAGAUGCAACACUUUCCCGCGGUUAGACGAAAGACCCAAUGCACCUUUACUAUAGCUUCGCACUGGCAUCAGGAUUGUGAUGUGCAGGAUAGGUGGUAGGCUUUGAAGCGGGAACGCUAGUUUUCCGUGGAGCCUCCCUUGAGAAUACCACCCUUCGCACUCUUGAAAUGUCUAACCGCGGUCCGUUAAAUCCGGAUCCGGGACCCUGCGUGGUGGUAGUUUGCUGGGGCGGUCGCCUUCCCAAAAGUAAAACGGAGGCGCGCGAAGGUUGGCUUCAGAGCGGUCGGAAAUCGCUCGUUGAGUGCAAUGGCAGAAGCCAGCCUGGACUGCGAGACUGACAAGUCGAGCAGAGUCGAAAAGACGGCCAUAGUUGAUCCGGUGGUCCCCAGUGGCGAGGGCCAUCGCUCAACGGAUAAAAGGUCGCUGGUUUGGAUCAACAGGCUGAUGAUGCCCAAGAGUCCAUAUCGACGGCAAUCGUUUUUGGCACCUCGAUGUCGGCUCAUCUCAUCCCUGGGCUGGAGCAGGUCCCAAGGGUAUGGCUGUUCCGCCAUUUAAAGAGGUACGUGAGCUGGGUUUAGAACGUCGUGAGACAGUUCGGUCCCUAUCUGCCGUGGGUGUAGGAAUACUUGAGAGGAGUUGCCCUAGUACGAGAGGACCGGGGUGAACGUUCCACUGGUGGACCCAGUUGUCGUGCCAACGGCAGUGCUGGGUAGCUAUGAACGGACAGAUAACCGCUGAAGGCAUCUAAGCGGGAAGCCCCCUCAAACAAGGUAAUCCCUUGA